GAUCAUGGCUCAGGAUGAACGCUGGCGGCGUGCUUAACACAUGCAAGUCAACGGAACUACUUUAAUGAGAUUCUUCGGAAAGGAUUUGAUUUAGUUUAGUGGCGGACGGGUGAGUAACGCGUGGGUAACCUGCCUCAUACAGGGGGAUAACAGUUGGAAACGGCUGUUAAUACCGCAUAAGCGCACAGUACCGCAUGGUACAGUGUGAAAAACUCCGGUGGUAUGAGAUGGACCCGCGUCUGAUUAG
rnacentral:rRNA from 1 species